GUGUCAGCAGCCGCGGUAAGACGAACCGUACGAACGUUAUUCGGAAUCACUGGGCUUAAAGGGUGCGUAGGCGGCGGCGCAAGUUGGGUGUGAAAUCCCUCGGCUCAACCGAGGAACUGCGCUCAAAACUGCGUCGCUUGAGGAAGAUAGAGGUGAGUGGAACUUAGGGUGGAGCGGUGAAAUGCGUUGAUAUCCUAAGGAACACCAGUGGCGAAAGCGACUCACUGGGUCUUCUCUGACGCUGAGGCACGAAAGCUAGGGUAGCGAACGGGAUUAGAAACCCUUGUAGUCC
rnacentral:rRNA from 1 species